rnacentral:rRNA from 1 species
UACAGAGGAGCCAAGCGUUGUCCGGAUUGACUGGGCGUAAAGCGCACGCAGGCGGCACCGCGCGUGGGGUGUGAAAUCUGGCCGCUUAACGGCCAGGCGCCAUCCCAUACGGCGGAGCUGGAGUGAUGCAGAGGUCGAUGGAAUUGCCGGUGUAGUGGUGAAAUGCGUAGAUAUCGGGAGGAACACCAGUGGCGAAGGCGGCUUCCUGGCCUGUUCUUGACGCUGAGGCGCGAAAGCUAGGGGAGCAAACGGG